AUACUGGAGUGGGUUGCCACGUCCUCCUCCAGGGGAUCUUCCUGACCCAGCAUAAAUUCUAAAAUCUAGCAAGAAGAGCAGGACUUUCUGGCACAGAAAAUUUGCAAGAUAACACUGCUUGAAAGCCAGCCACCAUAUGGAUGAAGUUCUAGAAGGUUUGUGGAAAGGCUUGUGAGAACUCCGGCCCCAGUCACCAGUUGGGCUCCCAGCCAGCACCUCUACAGCCAGGGGAAUGAGGCAAUUUUGAACCUUUCAGGCAGCUCUGCACCCCAGCCAAUACCAUGGGAAGCAGAAGAACCUUCUAAUCAGUCAACAGAAUUGUGAGAAAUGCGUUCUUCAGUGUGAUCCUGAAACCCAUCUCUGCUCCUCUUAUCUGACUGCAGGAAUGGUUUAGUGAGUUGCUUUGGCGUCUUCAUUUUUCUGAUUGGAAUAGACCUGACCAUGGGAAUCUUCAUGUGUAUCUGAUACUCACAGCAGCACUAGAACAUUAGACACCCAGAGCUAGAAGGAUCUCAGAGACCCUGUGCACCAUCUUCAUUUGGCAGAUGAACACCUAAGGAACAGAAAGAGGAAGAGACUCACCAAGGAUCUCACAGCUACUGAAUGGAAUACAAAGAAUCAGAAGCAGGUACUCCAAACCCUGCCAGUGUUCUGUUUUCUUUCUGGGAUGAACUCCUUGCUCCUGCAGGAACUGUCCAACGUGGCCCUUCAUACAGAGCUGACGCUUUGUGACUUUGCCUGGGGGGCAGUUCUUAAGUGUCUCCUUGGGCAGGUGGGGUCAGUUAGAGUCAGAUUGUGUCCUGAGUGCCCCUCUGAGGUCUUGCCAAGGGAAAAAGAGGUUUCUUGUCUACAGUUUCUUCCAUCCCAUUGUCCAGUCCCACAGGUUGGUUAGCCAUGGAAAGUUGUUUACAUGAGUUGGGAAUAUCAAACCACUUAAUUUGGCAAACCCUUUCACUCCUACCAGGAUACCAACAGUUGGCAAUGCCUACCUGGAAGACCAUGUUGAAAAAUUUUCAGAGGUUGAAGUAGGUCUGUGAUCCAUUUUGCUGUCUGCCAUGAGCAUGGGCAUAGAGAAUGGUAGUGUUACCAAUGAUACACAAAUGGCAUGUGUUUACAUUCCUGCUUUCCUCCGUGUAUGAUGUCAGCACUGCCCUCCAGGGCUCUCCUAAGAGUCUUGGAGGUGCAAAAAUGGGCAUGUGAAACCUUGUGGUGGUUGUUGCAAGAGCCACCACUCACAUAAGGAAUGUUUUUAUCAAUUCCAGAGUGCAUACUAAGCAGGCUCUGCAACCCUCCUGCCUUUUCCUCCCCCCAAGUAGAGCAGCUGACCCAGUUCCUGGCUACCCAGAUCCUGACUAAUUGUCAUCCCUUGCAAGCAGACCUCUGCUGAACCUUAGAAGCAGAAAAAUUCAGAAAGAAAAGCAAGAUAUAAAAGAGCUGUCAGAAAGAAUCUACAUAGAACCCUGAAGUUGUGCUUUCAUAACUGAAUAAAUAACUCCUUGAGCAAUAAUUUGUUUGCAAGCUGUUAAUUAGCAGCAUAAUUAAUUUCUGCAGAUUAUAAAUAACAGAGCACAAAGUGGCAUUCCCAGUAGAGCCAAUGAAAAAUUACCUAAACCAUUUUAAGAACCAAAAAUAGUCCACAGUGUAACAGAUUUAAAUGGGCUCUAGAAUCUGAAUGGUGCCAUUUUCUUUUUCCUUUGGGUUAAAAGGAAAGAAAGGAAAAAAGGAAAAAAAAAAAAUCCCCAGAAAACUCAACAACUAUGAGCUUGUAUCUGAUGUCAGAAAUUUAUUGGCAAAAAGCAGAGUUUCAUUAAUCACCCUGUUCUCUCUUAUGCCUGGCAUGUCAAGAAGAAAAAAAAAAAAAAUCUCUGUUUAUCUCUCCUUCAAACAAACAGCCGCGUAAGUGGAUUAUUCCCAACAGAAAGAUUUUCCCUAUACUCUAAUCUCAGAGCAAUCAUUCACUACUCUAAAUGAGCAGUUACUUAAAAUGUUAAGAAGGGAUGGUAAUUAGCUCAAGGAAAACCCUGCCAAGUAUUUAAUUUUCAGAAAAUAAAAUGAAGAUAAGAAAGGCCUCUUACCUUUGCAACCUGAAGCCAUUGUUUUCUAUCUCAUCUCUUGCUUCGAGUGCCUCCCUGUUUUAGGAUCUGGACUCAGAGAUGCUAACUGAGUGGUACCAAGUAAUCUCUGGUUUCAGAAAAUCCAGGAUAAGAAUAUUCUUGAAACUUGAGGAGAAAGAUUCUUAACUUUAUUUAUAACCUGGAAUCUUUUCCAAAAAGAUUUAGCUAGUUUGCUAAAAGACAAAAAAAGUGAAAAAAUGAGUCUGUGAAAGACCAAGUUGGAUAAAUGCUGGAAGGAAAUAGACCUAAGAGAAAUGAAAUAGGCAUUCCAAUUAUGCUGCAGUUUGACACCA